rnacentral:rRNA from 1 species
CCCGAAGGUUAAGCUACCUACUUCUUUUGCAACCCACUCCCAUGGUGUGACGGGCGGUGUGUACAAGGCCCGGGAACGUAUUCACCGUGACAUUCUGAUUCACGAUUACUAGCGAUUCCGACUUCAUGGAGUCGAGUUGCAGACUCCAAUCCGGACUACGACGCACUUUAUGAGGUCCGCUAGCUCUCGCGAGAUUGCUUCUCUUUGUAUGCGCCAUUGUAGCACGUGUGUAGCCCUGGUCGUAAGGGCCAUGAUGACUUGACGUCAUCCCCACCUUCCUCCAGUUUAUCACUGGCAGUCUCCUUUGAGUUCCCGGCCUAACCGCUGGCAACAAAGGAUAAGGGUUGCGCUCGUUGCGGGACUUAACCCAACAUUUCACAACACGAGCUGACGACAGCCAUGCAGCACCUGUCUCACAGUUCCCGAAGGCACCAAUGCAUCUCUGCAAAGUUCUGUGGAUGUCAAGACCAGGUAAGGUUCUUCGCGUUGCAUCGAAUUAAACCACAUGCUCCACCGCUUGUGCG